rnacentral:misc_RNA from 1 species
GAAAAAUCAAAUCUUCACAGAUUGAACAUCUUUUUAACUCGACAGAACCAAGGUUUCUUGAAGGAUUUGAAACAAAGGUUAGAUUGUUACUCGAAUUUGGGAUUACCCAAGACACAAUUGUUCACGUUCUCAACAAUGCCAACUUAACAAAGGCAUUUUGUCUCAAGUCAUUUGAAGAUAUAGAAAGAAUGCUUACUUUCUUGAACCGUUUUGGUGGUGGUGAUUUGAUUCUUCGCCGACCAGCACUUCUCAAUUAUGACCUUGAUGCCCAGUUGAUUCCCAGGGUAGGGUUCCUCUUGGAGCUGAGUGGGGGUGAUGAGACUGGAACUGCAACUGUGUUGCGUAAGUUGCCAUUUGUUGUAGCAUACAGUGUUGAUCACUUAAAAGAUCACGUAGAGUUCUUGAAAUCAUAUGCUGGCUUAAGUGAGGAAGAGAUCUUUCGAAUUGUUUUAGUUUAUCCCAACAUGUUUAGUGCCAGCAGGAAAAGAA